AGGGCUUGACAUGCACUGGAAUGCCGUAGAAAUACGGCAGCCCUUCGGGGCCAGUGCACAGGUGGUGCAUGGCUGUCGUCAGCUCGUGUCGUGAGAUGUUGGGUUAAGUCCCGCAACGAGCGCAACCCUCGCCCUUAGUUGCCACCAUUCAGUUGGGCACUCUAAGGGGACUGCCGGUGAUAAGCCGGAGGAAGGUGGGGAUGACGUUCGUCUGAC
rnacentral:misc_RNA from 1 species